CAGUCGCCGCGGUAAUACGGAGGGGGCUAGCGUUGUUCGGAAUUACUGGGCGUAAAGCGCACGUAGGCGGUUUUGUAAGUCAGAGGUGAAAGCCCGGAGCUCAACUCCGGAACUGCCUUUGAGACUGCAUCACUUGAACGUCGGAGAGGUGAGUGGAAUUCCUAGUGUAGAGGUGAAAUUCGUAGAUAUUCGGAAGAACACCAGUGGCGAAGGCGGCUCACUGGACGACUGUUGACGCUGAGGUGCGAAAGCGUGGGGAGCAAACAGGAUUAGAUACCCCAGUAGUCCCUGUCUCUUAUAC
rnacentral:rRNA from 1 species